AUUAAAUAGCUGCAGUAUAUUAACUGUACAAAGGUAGCAUAAUCAAUAGUUUUUUAAUUAAAAGCUGGAAUGAAUGAUUUGAUAAGGUAAAUAUUGUCUCAAUUUUAAAAUAAUUAGAAUUUUUUUUUUAGUAAAAAUACUAAAAUGAAUUUAAAAGACGAGAAGACCCUAUAGAUUUUUAUAUUUAUUUGAGUAAUUUAAUAAAAUUAAUUAUUUAAAUUAUUAAAAUAAAUAUUUGAUUGGGGAAAUUAUUAAAUUUAAAAAAUUUUAAUUAAAAAAAAACAAUAGUUAUUGAAAUUUUGAUCUUAAUUUUUAAAAUAUAAAAUUAAAUUACCUUAGGGAUAACAGCGUAAUUUUUUUAGAGAGAUCUUAUUGAUAAAAAAGUUUGCGACCUCGAUGUUGAAUUAAGAUAAAAUUUUAAUGAARAAGUUAAAAAUUUUUGGUCUGUUC
rnacentral:rRNA from 1 species